AAUUGGGUAAAAAUAUGCGCUUAAUGGAUGCCUUGGUGCAACAUACCGAAGAAGGACGUAGAGGGCUGCGAUAAGUGUCGGUGAGCUGCCGUCAAGCUUUGACCCGACAAUUUCCGAAUGGGGAAACCCCUUGUCCGCAGGACAAGGAAAUUCGAAAUUCUAACGAUAAUUUUAAAUUAUAAAUUCUUAAUUUUUAUUGAAUUUUUUAAUGAAUUAAUUUUAAAAAUUGAAACAUUUAGAUUUGAUUAAAAAUUUAAAAUUACAAAUCAAAAAUUGUUCCGUAUAGAUAUUCGGAUUUUCUGGUCUUGCGGAUGAGAUCUCUUGGCGAAUACAUAAGCCUUGAGAAGGGCACCGUCUGAACUGAAACAUCUAAGUAAGGCGAGGAAAAUAAAGAGAACCAGCCUGCCAUCUGGCAGGUUCGAUUCCCUAAGUAGCGGCGAGCGAAAGGGGAAAAGCCCAAACCCCCGCAAUGCGGGGGGGUUGCGGGACCCAAAUGUGGGAUUUAUUUGCGGAUAGCAGAACAGUCUGGAAUGGCUGACCACAGGAAGUGAAAGUCUUGUAUGCAAAAUCCAAAAUAACCUUAUGGGUAUCCCAAGUACCACGGGACACGAGAAAUCCUGUGGGAAUCUGCGCCGACCACGGCGUAAGGCUAAAUAUA
rnacentral:ncRNA from 1 species